CAUUUGUCCGAACCUGUUUGGCUGUUUCGAGAACGUCAUAUGAAUGAUACAUUCCUAAAGGCAUCUUGAAAAUAAAAUGGAUGGCCAAACUCCUGAAUCAGAUUCUAGGUGUCUUGGUUCCCUUCUAUGAUUUGGAGUGGGGCGAUCCUGCAUGGAAAACUAAACAUGCAAAUCCAAACAACUCGGUAGGCUAAAUCAUUCAGUCAAAAGCGCUCUUUGUCCUUCCUUGCCGUAACGAUCAUCUAGCGCUAUCUACAGGGAUGUACCUUGAGGUAUAACUUUAUUUUAAAUACUGCAUACAUUAUACUACGAAACAGGUUAGAGAACGCAUUUUAUGAACUAAGCCAAAGCGCACAAUAAUCAUUUCUCAUCGCGGGCCGUUGCUGUUCGCUCCCACCGCGACUAAUUGAACAUGACAUACAAAUAAAAAUCACGGCGUCAACCUGUUUGUGAGACAUAAGUUUAAAAUCGGAUUUUACCACGAACUUAUAAGCAGUAUGUUACAAUGGCGCAUUUACUAGAGCUUCGUAUUAUAGAUGCCAAUGUCACUGAAGUGAAGAUUGCAUAGGCUACAUCGGUUUCAAAGUCUGGCGGCUCUCGUUCUUGCUCAAUCUUCCUAUAGCGAAGCUAUCGCCCAUUUCAGGAGUCAUGCCCAUGGAUUUUUUUUGGGCUGUGAAUCGGGAAGAUUGGAACCCUUUGAGGAAAUUCGAACACCACGCCUGGUUGGGUGCCCAAUUUUCGACGGUCGGCAUUUUAUUUGAGGAUGAUGCAUGCGAGUGAGUUAUAGUACUUCCGGCAAUCCAGACUCAACAUCCUGGCUUCUUCUACCAACAGUCUACGCAUUCUAUUCUAAGGAAUAAGGCUUGUUACCAAGAUUGCGAUGCUUUUCGAAGAAACUGUCAUUAAUAACUUGACUCAAUUUCAUUCGGCGAAUCGUCACAACUGGACUUCUGCGGGCAAAGACCCUGGCGGCUGGACCGGCUGGAAGUCGGGCGGCCUAGUCGGGUGAACCUUACCAGCUGAUAUGAAAGCUGAGGACGACUCGCGAGAUUGCUGCAAUGUUAGUCCGCGAACGACAUCAAGUUGAUCUCACGGUACUACUCCCUUUCAAAACAUUUAUCAUGUCGACUUCAUCUUAAUCACUUAGUUUUUUAAAAAUCAAUAAAAGAGCAAAAACAUUUCUUCUUCUAGUGGUGCAAUCGCAAUAUAAUGGCGGAAUAUUGCCGGUUGGAAAACUUUCCGGAAGCCCUUACGUAAUCAAAAUACACCUCAACUUUUGUUUCAAUUUAUUCUAAAUGGAAACUUACUUUUUGUUUAACUUUCUCGAAUCUUUGCUCUGGGAUUGCCGCAAAGAGUUUUGGUGGAUAACACUGACAUCUUUACUCCAGUUGGGUUUGCGUUGUGCAUUUCUUUUCGGUCGGCCUGGGCCAAAUACGCCGUGGAAUUGUGUUCCCGGGUGGCGAUGUAAUGAAGCCAAGAAGAAAAGGCGCAAUUAUUCGAUAACAUCUUUCACAAUGAUGAUAUACAUGAACUCUUUCACAAGAGGAUACCACUGCCACCGACUCUACAGCGGUUUCGUUGGCUACUUAUUUAACUAUGGGUUUAUCAAUUUGCUAGUUUGACCAGCAGCGCCUGCGUAACUAAAAUCGUCAACAACAUGAUUUCGUCAUUCGUUGAAGUCAUCAAGGGCAUUUUUACUCUAAAGCAAUUUCUGGCGAGGAUGUUGAAGUUCACGUCUGGCGAUACAGUGCACCAGCUCACAUGUGGCUCCCAACAAUACUGUCUUUCCCUUACAUUCCUUUCUGUCAUGUGAAGGAUCUGAAAGAGCUGGAAUUUGAACCCAAUCAGAUCUGACACAUCCAAAAUCUACAAGUUUGAAUUUGCUGCGCAAUCUCAAGACGUGUUGAACUUCAAGUAGGUCGUAUAGCAGGUACGUACGUCGAACAUCCGACUGGGAGCUACACAACUAAAGGAAAAUCUCCGUUUAACGAUUUCUCGUGGAUGAGAGGGUUGAGAGCUAAAGGAACAUAUCCAUUUGAAUUUCCUCGUGAAUGAAAGAGUAUAAUCCUUUUUCAUAUUUUUGGUUUACAGAAGUUAAAUGCAUCCAAAAUGU